CCUCAAUUCAAUUUCCCUACUUUGAUUUAGCUUGAUUUGUAAUCUGUCAAUGAGCUGCCAUGACUUUCGGUUGCUUUCUCCUAAUUAGCUUUGCUUUUGCUACGAAACUGCAGUUUCAGCUUCAGAGAGCUCCUCUUCAUCAUGUUUCUUUUCUUUUUUCCAAGUCAAUCAGCAAAUUCACAACUAUUUUUUUUGUGUUUCACUUAGUUCAGCUUCCGCUUAGCUGUACCCUUUACACCUUUUACCUUUUGCUCUAGCUAUCAGCUUAACGCAUUCAUUAGUUCUGUCGUCCAAAAGCUUUCCCACCGACCAAAAAAAAAAACAAAAAACGACCAUAAAGACCAUAAUUAGCUAUCGUAGAGUAAAGACUCUGUCCUAAAGGGGCGCAACUCUCGUGAAGUUUUUUUUUUUGCAGAAAAUCACUUGAAAAUGUUUGCCACGUUUUUGUUUUUGAUUUCUAUGUUGCAAAACACUUAAAAGUAAUUUGAACUAAAUUGGAUUUUGUACGGUUUGCCAAUCAAGCGAGACAAACAAAAAAAACAAAAAACACAAAAAUCGAGGCUAAAAAGACCUUCGAGUCUAUAGUUUAAUUUAUAGAUCUAGAUCUAUACACCUGUGUUGUUGUGAAGUUAAUGUCCGAAUAUUAUAUAAAAAAAAUAAAUUUGCGCAAAAUUUCAAAACAGUUUCAAAUAUUAUGAUUAAAGCAAUUUUUGCUCAAGAGCCGCUGUCACAAUAAUGUAUCUAUUGAAUGCAUAUCUGUGGAGAUCUAUAGAUCGGCUUUGCGAAAUUUUGUGAAUAGAUUUGCUUGUCAUUAAUAUUAUUUGUACAUUUUGAUUUUGUGUUGAAUGGUAGUCUCAAGUCACACGCUGUCGUCGUCGACGAGGAGGAGAACGAAUGAGAAAAGAGAGGGGGGGAGACGGAAGUGGGUUAAACUCCCAUAUAACAUAAAUAUUGGGAGCCGACUUCACGCAACUUAGGCAAAUGAAAGACGUCAUAAAAUUGCUAAUAGGUUAAGGUAUAAAUAAAAAGUAGAGAGAGAAAAAAACAAAACAUGAAGAUACAACAAGCUGUGCCCAAUUUUUUAUAUUUUUUUAUUUAUCAAUUCGAUCGAACCUACAACGUUUCAUUCAUUCAACUGCCGCCACUUUUAUUAUCAAUUUGGAAAAAAAAAGAGUUACGAAGGAAAAAAAAACAUAGAUUUUGACAAGCUCUCAUAACGAGAAAGUUUAACUCGAGUUAACUCAAUUCGAGUCGAUUACACACACAAUCACAUUUACAUAGCAUCGAUAGGCAAAUGAGUGUGGUGUGUGUGUGUUCCAUAUCAUAUCAUAUCAUAUGAUAUGAUAUGUCACACGCUCAAUCAAAACCUAAACAGUUUUCAAUUUGCCACAUCAACAACAACUUGAUGAAGAUCGAUUUUGCAAAGCGAAAGAGUUUAUUUUUGUUUAUAGAUCGCGUUGCUCAAAUAUACUAUAUACCAUAUAUAGUAUAUAGUAUAUAGUCGAUGCACUCUUGAAUUGUUUUUAAGUCUUUGUAUUGAUUUCAAUAUUUAACAAUUUUGCAAUUUUUUACUCUUUCGCUGCCCGGCUUUUGUUCAUUUCAAUUUUAUUGUUUGGAUUUAUGCGGAAUUAAUUUCAUUUGUUUGUUAUUGUUGCCUCAGUUUUGUUGUUGUUGUUGUGGGUUUUUUUUUGUUUAGUAUUUUUUCAUACUUUCGGGAAUCGUGUCUAGGGCAAUGUUCGAGCCAGAAAGUUUAGUGAUCUUUGACGAGAAGAGGCAAUGAACGGAGUCUGUUCAUCAUCAUCUCUCAUCUAUGUAUCUCUCUGCCUGCCCUCAUAUCUCCCUUUCUUUAUUUCUUUUUAUUGUUAUUUCUUCUGUACACUUUGGCAGAUGUGUCAGAUGAGAUUCGCUUUAAGAGUCAACAUCUUUGUGAGGAUUAUGAAAUCAUUUAGGCGAUUACAUAAGCCCAAGGGACAGAGUACAAAGCAUAAAUAUAAUAAAUGUAUAUGUACAUUUGUGGAUAGAGCUGUGGGGAAUGGAAAUAAAAUGCGCAAAUCUUUUGGGUUUGGGUAGUGACUAAACUUGACUCUGAUAAUCGUAUACAUAUUUGUAUUUGUCUAUGAUACGAGCAGCUCAUUAAUAAAUGUUGCGCUUUCAGUGCGUCUCCAAAGCAGUGUCAUAUCAAUCUCAGCUUGUUAGGAAAGUUUUCGCGCUACGAUAUCUUAAGGCUAAAAUAAAUUGUCCCCCAUUAUAUUAUUAUUGAAUUAGUGAGUCCCAUAAAUAA